GCCAGGUGUGGUGGUGCACACCUGUAAUCCCAGCUACUUGGGAGACUGAGGCAGGAGACUCGCUUGAACCUGGGAGGCGGAGGUUGCAGUGAGCUGAGAUCUUGCCACUGCACUCCAGCCUGGGUGACAGAGCGAGACUCUGUCUCAA
rnacentral:SRP_RNA from 2 species